GCCGGGGUAGCUCAGCUGGGAGAGCAACAGACUGAAGACUUGGUCGUUUUCUGGAGGUCCCGUGUUCAAUCCACGGUCCUGGCA